CUUGUUGGCAUCUUAAGCAGGACAAUCAGAGGAAGAACUGACAGUUAGGCAAGGAUCCCAGGGAGCAGAGGGAGAUUUGGCAAAGAGUGAGCAGGCAGCUUUCAGGAAAGAUGGCAAAAGACGGGAUGUAAACAACCCGGAUGGAAGCAGAUUUUCUUCAGCGGGCUUCAUCUUGCAAGGAACAGUUCCAGGAAUCCACCGAUAAGGAAGACAACAUCCCAAAAUGAACAAUGGGAAAGCCACUUUUUCACUGGAGAAAUGACAACUUCAACAGGGGUGAAGAAACAAGUGGUUGCAUGUGCAGUGGUGGUCUACUGUACACAAAGCAGUCCAGUUGCUCACUUCAGAAGGAAGACCAAAAACUCUAUGGGGCUUUAAACGUGGGUUAAAGUUCAAAUCAUGAUGCAGUUCCUCUCAAAUUUUAACACUGAAGGAGAUACAAAAACGUGACAAACUGAUCAGAUCAGAUGAAUAUUUUUAUAAGGAAAUCCCAUUAAAAGGCCAAAUUAUUCAUGCUUUGUUUUGCUGAUGGUUGCUAAUUUUUCCUCAGACCUCCAACAUUUUAAUGGAGACAUGAGAGUAAGCCGGUUUUCCGUUAUAUAAGAUCUUACAGAGUAUGUAAAGUGCUUGAGUGCUGUAAAGAGCACUAUAGAAGCCAAGUAAAAUGUAUUACUCUUGCAGUUCUUUUCCUUUAUGCUGUGGAUUUGAUUCAAGCCUCGAUUAAGUUGAUCUGAAGAUGUUUCUACUAAGCACCUCCCCGCCAUUACCAGCUUUUAUGAUGAGCAUUGAUUCUGAGGCAUGAUGCUUCCUCUCUGC